rnacentral:rRNA from 1 species
AUUGAACGCUGGCGGCAGGCCUAACACAUGCAAGUCGAACGGUAGCACAGAGAGCUUGCUCUCGGGUGACGAGUGGCGGACGGGUGAGUAAUGUCUGGGAAACUGCCUGAUGGAGGGGGAUAACCACUGGAAACGGUAGCUAAUACCGCAUAACGUCGCAAGACCAAAGAGGGGGACCUUCGGGCCUCUUGCCAUCAGAUGUGCCCAGAUGGGAUUAGCUAGUAGGUGGGUAACGGCUCACCUAGGCGACGAUCCCUAGCUGGUCUGAGAGGAUGACCAGGCAAACUGGAACUGAGACACGGUCCAGACUCCUACGGGGGGCAGCAGUGGGGAAUAUUGCACAAUGGGCGCAAGCCUGAUGCAGCCAUGCCGCGUGUAUGAAGAAGGCCUUCGGGUUGUAAAGUACUUUCAGCGAGGAGGAAGGCGAUACGGUUAAUAACCGUGUCGAUUGACGUUACUCGCAGAAGAAGCACCGGCUAACUCCGUGCCAGCCGCCGCGGUAACAC